UACGUAGGGGGCAAGCGUUGUCCGGAAUCAUUGGGCGUAAAGCGCGUGUAGGCGGCUUCGUCAGUCCGUUGUGAAAGUCCAGGGCUCAACCCUGGAAUGCCGAUGGAUACUGCGGAGCUCGAGUCCGGAAGAGGCGAGUGGAAUUCCUGGUGUAGCGGUGAAAUGCGCAGAUAUCAGGAGGAACACCAAUGGCGAAGGCAGCUCGCUGGGACGGUACUGACGCUGAGACGCGAAAGCGUGGGGAGCAAACAGG
rnacentral:rRNA from 1 species